UACGGGGGGAGCAAGCGUUGUUCGGAUUUACUGGGCGUAAAGGGCGCGUAGGCGGUCAGCACAAGUCAGUUGUGAAAUCUCCGGGCUUAACUCGGAAAGGUCAACUGAUACUGUGCGACUAGAGUGCGGAAGGGGCAACUGGAAUUCUCGGUGUAGCGGUGAAAUGCGUAGAGAUGUGGAGGAACACCGAUGGCGAAGGCAGCCCCCUGGGUCAAGAUUGACGCUCGUGCACGAAAGCGUGGGGAGCAAACAGG
rnacentral:rRNA from 1 species